UGGGCAUCUCUCCCCUCUUCUGCCCGGCUCGGACUACAUCUCCCAGGCGCCCCACUCCCUGCAAGCCCCGCCCCACCCCCUGCUGACUCCUUGAUUGGCUCCCGCCUCAGCCGACUUCUUUCCGUCUCCCGCUCAUUGGUGGCUCGCGCUGUCGCUCGGGAGGGCGGGGAGUGCGGAAGCGGGAGUGAGAGCGGCGCGGAGGCGCUACGGGCCGAUGCGGACCGGCCGAGCCCGCGGCGCCCCGGGCCCGCGCACAGAGUGCAGAUGAGUAAAAGCAGCAAGAUUCCCAAUGGGAAAGAUGACACCAGUAAUCCAUUCUACUGGAGAUGCUUGAAUACAGGAAGGAGACCUCACAGAAAGCCAGGAUGUGCACUUGAGCUUGUAGCUAUUUUUAACAAUGUUAAAUUACAUUCAAAAGUAAUGACAAGGUGAGUGAGACAGAUCCUGGGAAGGCUGAGGAAUGGGGAAAAACCUGUAUUGAAGGUAGCCAGUUUGCUCCAGUAAAGCUUUCUUCUUCCUUCAUAAUCUUCAUCAGGUCUUUCCCUCAGUGAUGGUUCUUUUCUGCUUCAAGGAGGAUAUGAUGGAGAAAAUAUGAUUUAAACGAUUCAAGAAAUUGAGAUUCUGCCUUCAGUGACUGAGCUUCCCUGAAAUCUUCCUUAUCAGUUACUGCCAAGAUGCGAAGGAUAACAAAAAGAAGUCGUGUUUAAGUGGCUUUAACGACAGUUAAUUUCACCUGUAUAUCAAAUUGUAGUUUAUUCUUUGAUCUUUAUCAGUCAUCAGAUGGAAGUAAUUUAUAUGAAAUAAAAUGGAAGAUUUUGUAGCUAUAAAAACUUAUUGUCAUAUGUGUAUGAUAUUAUCCCCAGGAUAAACUUGCUUUAAAAAAAACAACAAAAACCCCCUCUUUGAAAUAUUUUGAUGUGUGUUCUGUUUGAAUGAGUGGUUAAUGUCAUGCAAGAAAAGUUUAUUUCUAGAGUCCUUUUACUGCACAGUAUAGUUACUCUUAUGACACUUGUAUUUAUAAGUAUCUACAUUAACUCAAGCCUCAGCUUUUUGCAGUAAUACAUUGAAUACUUUUCUUUUUCUUUAAAUUUUUAAACCAAUAUGCAAUGAAUAGGUAUUUGUUUCCGAACCAGUUUCACUGCCUCUUGUUUCCUUUGAUCAAUGCCUUUUCAAUGUUCAGGAAUAGAUGUCAUUACAAAGAAAAGUGCUUUAUUUGUUUUUGGACUAUUCUGUAGCAACAGGAAUGACUUUGUUCAAAUGUUUUUUCUUUUCUGAACAUUGCCCAAAUAUUUGGGAAAAAGACUUAGCCCAUGACCAUAGAAAUGCCUAUGUUUCUCAUGGCCAUUCCUCCAUCAUUCCAAACCCCUCCAUCAUACACCUGGACUUACUGGGCCCAGUUCAAAGGUGCUAGAGCUUUCUCAGUUGGUAAGUUUUAUGUUAAUUUGCAGUGUUUCUAUUAGACCUGCAUCUAUUCAAACCCCCUUCCUCUUCCCUCCCCUCCUGCAUGUCUGUCUUAGACUUGGGGGAGCUGGAUACAAAUUGAUGCUGAAAGCGCAAGUUGCACAUCUGGAAGUGGGCGUGUGUUAUAGUCGAGUUAAGUAUGAUUUCUUUGUGCUCAAGUUGCUGAAAGUGAUGUAAUCUAUGCCACUUUCAGUUUGAGUCUGCUUGGUCCUUGUGCUGUAUUAUUCUUAUCAAAGCAGGGACAAAACAACAAUUUUCUUGUUGUUGGGUGGGGUAUUUAAGCUCAGCCUGUGCAAAUGGUAUACAUUUUGCAUGCAUGUAUGCAGAAUAUUUCCAUGCUCUUUUACCUUGGAGAAGCAGCCUCAGUCAGUACGUGAUUAGGGAUGUAUUCAAAUAGCGGAACCUAGGGUCAAAUUUUUGCGGGCUUGCUGCAGCUAUGGGCUUCAAUUUCAUGGGCAGAUUGAGGCUGCCUCCCCAUGCCUCUGCUAGGGAGGAGGGAAAUAAGCCCCUCUACGGCCCUGAGUAGGCAUGGAGAUGGGCUGCCAUCACCCUAUUGCCCCCAAGCCAGGACAUGCUGUUCUCCCAGCCUAGCCCUGUCCCCCUGCCCUUUUAGGGCCCUGUGCAGGCAUGGGGAUGGGCUGCUGCCACCCUGUUGCCCCCCCUACCCCAGCUUGGCUCUGCUCCCCUCAUCCUAGGCCUGCUCCUUGCACUACAAUCUGGCCACUCUGCACCCCGCCCCUCCCACUGGCCCAGCCCUGCUCACCCUGCCACAGCCUGGGUAUGUUGGGCCCCCACCCCAUAGAUUCACAGAUUGUAGAGUUGGAAGGGACCACAAUGGAUCAUCGUGUCCGACCCCCUGCCCCUGGCAGGAAAGAGGACUGAGGUCAGAUGACCCCAGCCAGGUGACUAUCUAGUCUCUUCUUGAAGACCUCCAAGCUAGGUGAUAGCACCACCUCUCUUGGAAGCCCAUUCCAGAUCCUGGCUACCCUUACUGUGAAAAAUGUCUUCCUAAUAUCUAACCUAAAUCCACUCUCAACUAGUUUACACCCGUUAUUCCUAGUCACUCCCUGGGGUGCCCUAGUAAACAGCACAUCACCUAUUCCCUGUUGACCUCCCCUAAUAAAUUUAUAGGUGGCCACAAGAUCUCCCCUCAGCCGUCUCUUGCGAAGGCUGAAGAGAUUCAGUUCUCUCAACCUCCCCCCAUAGGGUCUUUCCCAAAGGCCACUAAUCAUGCGAGUGGCCCUCCUCUGGACCCUUUCCAGAUUCUCUGCAUCCCUCUGAAGUGCGGCGCCCAAAACUGGACACAGUACUCCAACUGCAGCCUGACCAGUGCUGCAUAGAGGGGGAGCAUCACCUCCUUUGAUCUAUUAGUCAUGCACCUGCUAAUGCACAACAAGGUGCGAUUGGCCUUUGUUGAUGGUCUUGUUACACUGCCAGCUCAUGUUCAUCUUGCAGUCAGUUAUGACUCCAAGAUCUCUCUCUGCCUCCGAGCUGCUGAGAAGGACACUCUCCAACCUAUAGGUGUGCUGGGGAUUUCUCCUUCCCAGGUGGAGUACCUUACAUUUAUCUUUAUUAAAUUGCAUCCUAUUUCUCUCUGCCCAUUGAUCCAACCUGUCCAGGUUGGCCUGAAUCUGCUCCCUGCCCUCCAGUGUACUAACUGUUCCUCCCAGCUCUGUACAGUUCUGAUAAAAUGAAGUAUGGGAGGAGGGAGCCCUUACAUGAGUAGAACAGUUCCCACCAGCCCCAUGCUUUUAUACCUUGCAUACCUGCACAACUCCCCAAUUCCUAACCAAGAGUGCCCAGAAACUUGCCGUAUGACCCUACGAUUGAGGGAGAAGCUGGAUUGUUAAGGGGAUCUUUAGGGCAAUAGUUCAUAAAGGUUUGGGGAUGGAAGCAAAUUUUGAAAUCAUGGCAGUAGUUAAAAUAUUUGUCAACAUGGAUACACUAAGUGCCUGAUUUUAAAAAGACUAUGCAACAGCAACUACAUGGAAACCUAUUACUCUGCCAAAGAUUGAGACCUAUGUUUGUGCUGUCACAGAAAAUUUUGGUCAUUUAUGUCAAAGCUGCAUACUGUUGUUGGUCUAUGCAUGUGGCAUAUUACUUGAAUAUGCACAAAUUUAAAGGAGGCAGAAUGCUGACCAUGUAAUUUCUGACAGCUUAAAUAUGUAACUCCUGUUUAGCUGAGUGCAGUUGUGAAAGAAAAUGGGCACAGUUCUGUCUUGGGAAAACUGCCACUGGCAGCAACAUCACCGUUACCCAUUACCAUUGUCUUCUAGAUCUGCUCAGAGCUCAGCAGGAAAGACAGUCAAAUGAUGUCUGAGGUACAGAUAAGGGCAGAAGUAAAACCUAAUCCAGGAGACUGCUAAGCAUCUCUAACAGCCAUUAACUGGAAAAUGUUAAGCAUCCACUAUUCUUUGAGUCAGCCCUGAAUUCAUGUAAUCCAUAUAGCUUAAUGUGGACAAUGGUUACUGGGGUGCUUGUGAUUUCUUAAUAAUCUCUGUUGGCCUGCUCAUUGGUAAUACUGUGUAGUUAUAGAUGAUUAAACCACUAGUGCACAAUAACAUACGGUUUGUAUACAGCACUGCCAGGACUAUGUUAGGCCAAUGACUAAAAUCUUACUUCUGAGCACAUAUAAUGACUAAGUAUUAUAGUUAAGAUCGUCAUACUGUUUAUGUAACACUAAAAGAGAAAACAAAAUGCAGUUUCAGAGCAGACGGAAUCUUUUUUCUUAUAAAUGCUCCAAAUAAUAGGUUGGUUUUAACUAGACUUCCUGGCUCUACAAUGAUUGCUGUAUUCUGUAUGAAUAUUUCUAGGUUUCAAGCAUUUCAUAAUCUUGUGUGUGAUUAUUUCAAACAUCUAUUUUUUUUCCUCCGCAAAUAUGUUUGACAAAACACAGUUUACCUCCUUUACUGGUACUGUAAAUUUACUUUUUAACUCAUUGCUUUAAUUCAGGCUCAGAGUGAAUUGGUAGAACAAAGUCUAGUGCAGUCAAAUAAUGUCCUUAUAUCUAUAACAUGAUGAUUGAUUUGUAUAUAGUAGUUUUCAUUCUUCAGAUAUAUCAAAACACUUCCAGAGCAAUAGAUAUUGAUGCUGUUGGGACUACACAGAUAAAGUCAGUGAAGUUGAAACUGAAGGUGCAAACUUCGAACAAGGGUAAUAAAUCACUGAAACUGAUUGCAAAGGAAUAUAGUAGAUGCUUUGUCAUUUGAAGUCUUUCAAACAAGAUUUGAGUGUGUUUCAAAAGUAUAUACUCUCAUUCAAGUGGUUGGGUUAGGUACAGGACUUGCUCAUUGAAAUUCUAGGGUCUUUAAUGUGCAGGAGGUUGAACUAGAUUAUCAUAUUAGUCCUUUCUGGCCCUGAGGACAAUACAGCAAAGACAUGUACCAGAAGAAUAGAUUUUAUGAAAUAGUUUUAUCAAACAGCAUCUUCCACUAAAGAGCUGGAGUAAAGGUCAUUGGCUUUGCUAACUCUAAAGAAUGGGACAGUCAGAAGUUCCCCAAACUCAGGUUUCCGGCUUCCAUUUUUUCCCUAAGGGAGUCUUGUCUCUCUAAACGAGGACGGUCCAACUUUUAAGAAACUGGCAGCCACAAGCAGUGCAGUUUGCUUCAGCAAGGGACGCAUGCCCUAGGGGUGCAUGAAUACGAGCCAUAGGCCUGUGAACCGCCACUCCUGCCCCCCGCCCCCUCCCACCUCCAUCUGCACUCACAUGCAGGCAGGGCUGCCCCUCCCCUCCCCUCCCUGGAGCACCAUGCACAGGUGGUCAUUGCAUAACACAUGUAUGUGGUUCCUCCCCAAUCCCCCUUCACUCUUUUCCACCCCCCCCACCCCCCCGGACCAUGUAUGUAGGUGGCCCCUCCUUAGCUCCCUUGCACCAUGCCAGGGCUACACUGCCUAGCCCCCUAGGUGGGAGCAGGGAGCAAAAGCUGAGGGAGGUGGAGCCAAGAGACCCCAGCUGGAGCAGCAGCCUGAGCAACAGGGUGAGUUGUGGCUGGGUAGAAGCCUGGGGAAGGAGUUGCGCAUAUUAACCCUUUGUGGAUUACAUGUGGCUCUUGGGCUGCCAGUUUAGACUGCACUGCUCUAAACCAUUAUCUGCCUUGCUGCUUCUGUUUCUUCAUCCUUUCAACCACAGUUUUUCAACCUCUGGCUUAAAGCAUCUCUAAUUUGAUAGCAUUUGUUUUAUGGAGGAGCCCAAGUUCUGUUGUAUAAGGUGAAGUUCAGACUUAAAGAAAAAGUGUGCUACCAAUAGAGGGCUUCUGAGCUACUAUCUGUAAUUCUCUUUUUUCAGAGAGGUACUGGCCAGGGAACCGAGCAUUGUGUAUUUGGUCUACAGUACUACUUGUCAUUAGCAUCUUGCUUUACCCCAAAAAUAAUCAAUCAACACAUGAAGCUUUUUCUGAAUAAAUGCCUCUUGUCUGUGUCUGUAAACUGUAGCAUUGUGUUUUAUCUAGAAAUAAUUAUUUAGUUUAAAAUAAUCUGACUGUUCCUCCUGUGCAUAAAUUAGAUUUGCUGUCUACUAAGAUUAGUUGACUGGCACCUUUUUACAAAUGCAUCCUUAGGGAGAGGGGAAAAAGGAAUAACUGGGUGCAAUCAACUCAUUUAAUAUUUCUUCAAUGGAAGUUUUUGGCCCUACUUUCACCACUAAAUGUGAAGGGGAAAAAUGUUUAGGUCUUUUUUUAUAAAAUAUCAUUUAUUUAGGCUGUCAGAGCACUUGGAAAGAAAGAGUUGAGGGCAUAAGUGGGUGAAGGUUUGGUUUUAGACAUUUGUCCUACACACUGUUCUUUUUGGCUACUGGGAUAUUGUAUAUUCUGCUGCAAGCUAUGCACAUUCUAUCAGUGAAGGCAGAGAUGCCAGCUAUAAUUAACUUAUUUGUCUGUAUGGGUUUUUUUCAUUUAACCCAUAAAAACUUGUUUGUAGUAAUCUGCUUUCCCAUAUAAGCACAUUUUGUACAUGGAGAAAGUGCAGUUUGAAUCUGAAAGAGCAGAAAAUUUAUUUUAAAUUGUGUACUAACCCUUUAUAUUAAAAAAAAUAAAAAAUAACCAUGA